AUGCUUGCAUAUCUACAUUUGCACGCCAAUCAUAAUUUGGUGGCACGGAUAAGGCCAACAAGGAUACCAAUCUCAAUCUGGCUUCACGAAGAAGGUAAUUAACAGCUCUCGACCCACUUAUUGAUUCUUUAAUUUCAAAAACAAUAUGCAGAAAAUCUACAGAAAACAAAAUCAUUCUUACAAGGGUACAUUUGAUGAUGAUCGCUCUGUUUCAUACACUUAUCAUAACAUAGUUUAACAACGAUCAAGGGAAACAUUCUCACCAGUGACAUCAAGAAAUUAGUUGCACACACUGACAUCAAGAAAGAAUUUGCUAUUUAUUUGUCAUAUUUAUGUUUCCUAAUGGCUAAAGAUAGAAAUGAGGUACUGAAGCUCUAUUGGAAGCCCCUUUUCAGUCUAUCAUGGCAAUCGGGAAAAUCUACAAAAUGGAAUGGUUCCCAAACAUAUACUAUAGUUGUAACAAAAAACAUUCCAACAUUGUGUUAUAUAAAUUAUGAAGAUGUAGCAUUUUUUGCAAGGCCUUCAAAUUACUAUUAUUUAGUGUGGAUCUCCGUUUAAUUUAUAUGCUCAGGGCGCAUUUAUUUACCAUAUUCAUGUUUCCUGGUGGAUAACGAUAUAAAGAAACGCUUCUACUGUGCAUUUAUGCCCCAUUUGAGUUUUACAUAACAACCAGGAGAAUCUCACUAAAUUGAAUCGAAGUUUUUAUGAGAAUUCUCAAUCUCUUGGAGCCGAGUGUUUUUUGUGCUAUUAAUUUGAUUUUCUCCUGAUUCGUAUGCUAUAUUUGAUAGUGUGAUUAUUUUGUGAAUUUGUGGAUGUGAUAUGUUAUCACAGUAUUCAAGGCAAAAUGUAUCAUUAGUUUGGUUUGUUUGUGUAAUGGCAUGGGGAUAGAUAGUGAUAGACAUGAUCCUUGGUGCUGUAAUGGGGGAUGGUCUGUGAGUAGUCUGUUCCCCUAUAAAAACUUUACUUUCCUACCAGCUUGGAACGUGGUUGUCUCUCUAAGCAUAAUAUAAAUCGUAUGGUUCACGAAUCCUAAAACAAUAUGUUCCACCAUGGACUUCUCUUUUGGAAGAGCGCCAGCCUGUUUUAUGAACUGUCAUGUGGAAGAAUGCAGUUCUGAUCUGAGAGUUGGUUUACGACAAGCUUCUCAUGUGGAAGAGUGCAGAGGCUGUCCUGCUGGUUGA
rnacentral:lncRNA from 1 species